rnacentral:rRNA from 1 species
GAUGAACGCUGGCGGCGUGCCUAAUACAUGCAAGUCGAGCGAACAGACGAGGAGCUUGCUCCUCUGACGUUAGCGGCGGACGGGUGAGUAACACGUGGAUAACCUACCUAUAAGACUGGGAUAACUUCGGGAAACCGGAGCUAAUACCGGAUAAUAUAUUGAACCGCAUUGUUCAAUAGUGAAAGACGGUUUUGCUUUCACUUAUAGAUGGAUCCGCGCCGCAUUAGCUAGUUGGUAAGGUAACGGCUUACCAAGGCAACGAUGCGUAGCCGACCUGAGAGGGUGAUCGGCCACACUGGAACUGAGACACGGUCCGGACUCCUACGGGAGGCAGCAGUAGGGAAUCUUCCGCAAUGGACGAAAGCUUGACGGAGCAACGCCGCGUGAGUGAUGAAGGUCUUCGGAUCGUAAAACUCUGUUAUUAGGGAAGAACAAAUGUGUAAGUAACUAUGCACGUCUUGACGGUACCUAAUCAGAAAGCCACGGCUAACUACGUG